UCCAAUUCCAACUUUUGAUUAUUUUAUUAGUUUUUUUCUUUUUCGUUUAAUAAUAAAAAAAGAACUAAUCGGAGAUCGCCACGUAACAUAGAGCCCAUGAUACAGUAACGAAACACAACCAAAACGAAUUCUACGUUAGGAUUUACGAGGUCAGUAACAACACUAUUACCAAAUCUAUAUAUAUAAAGUAGACUAUUAUGGCAUCUCCUUGCGCCACAACAGCUAUAGAGAUAGGGGCUUUUUCCUACACGUGUCAUCACGUUAAUUGAUAUGUGUAUUUCACGCGUUCCGUUUUUACACCUGAUUUUUGAAACAUAGAUCUUGUGUCUUUUGAAAACUAAGAUUACAGCUUUGGAUUUCUUUUAUAUUUAAAAACUGAGCCCACUUAAGCCCAAACUAUUAACAGCCUAUGAUAUCCACGUUCUUCACCUUCUUCCUUUUGCGACUGCGUCUUCACCACCGACGAGAUGAUUCAGAAACCAAAUACACCCUCUCCUACCCGUAACGUUUCACAAGUCCUUUAAUCCGCCAUUUAUUUUUAUUUUUCCCUUGAUUAAUCAAAUCCUUCCUCAUUAAGAUUUCCGAGCACCUGUUCGUUUACCUUGAAACGGUGUAGAUCUCCAACUAUAAAUAUCUCACCUUCAUACCAUGCAAACUCCAACUCAAACCAAAUCCGAAAAUUUUCAACUUGCAAUCUUCCAAUUUCAAUGUCUAAUUCAUAUGUUAUUCUUGCUGACUUGAGAGCCGGGAGAUGCUCCAACGCGGCGGAGGUCCGUCUUUUGAUAUUCUGGGAGGCGAAGAACAUCAACAAAAGGGGACAACUGAUGAGCCUUGAGAUGUUAUUGAUCGAUGAACAAUCUACUUUGGUCCAAGGGUCUGUUCCUGCGUCUCUACGGGUAUCGGGUCGUUUUUUCUGUGUCAGACAUCACUGGCAUAGCUGGUUUUGUUGGCUUCGAUAAAGAGAUUGCUAAGGUGACUCAUGUUUUGGCAUCAGAAGCUGCACAAAUUGUGGUGGACACUGACCUCCCUUGAUCACUCUCUGAUGUGGUAGGGAACACCUACACUUUUCAGCUCAAGCUAAAAGACUUCAAUUUCACUGCAAACCACCAAACCUUUACCAUUUCCCGCAUCUUUCCUGCACGAGAACUUUGCACCCAUCCCAACCUUCGCCGAAGGUGCAGCGGACCCUGAAGCAGCGGUACAUCAGACUGUUGUUCCAGGAUCUGAUUCUAUAGAUGCAAGGUCAAGCAAUGUCGCAGAGCAAGCAACCACCUCUGAUGGUCGUCUUGCGGGGCUUCAAGCAGCCGCUGAAGGACUUGAUCAGGAGAGUGCACCGAAGAAAGCAUGUGUGGAAUGAGUCCUCUUUAUAACCCAAACAACCACGUUAUCUCUACCAGUUUGUUGUUCCGUUUUGAGCUGCGCUUCUUAGUUUAAGUAUUGUUCAGUAUUUCUGCUUUUUUUCUUUUUAAACUCAGACAAGUGGUUGUUCGUUUUUUAAGUUUAAUGAACUCUUCUCGCAUAAACCA